rnacentral:rRNA from 1 species
CAUUCCACGGUUUCCGCGCCGCAGCUAACGCAUUAAGUGCCCCGCCUGGGGAGUACGGCCGCAAGGCUAAAACUCAAAGGAAUUGACGGGGGCCCGCACAAGCGGCGGAGCAUGCGGAUUAAUUCGAUGCAACGCGAAGAACCUUACCAAGGCUUGACAUGUUCUCGAUCGCCGUAGAGAUACGGUUUCCCCUUUGGGGCGGGUUCACAGGUGGUGCAUGGUUGUCGUCAGCUCGUGUCGUGAGAUGUUGGGUUAAGUCCCGCAACGAGCGCAACCCUCGUUCCAUGUUGCCAGCACGUCAUGGUGGGGACUCAUGGGAGACUGCCGGGGUCAACUCGGAGGAAGGUGAGGACGACGUCAAAUCAUCAUGCCCCUUAUGUCUUGGGCUUCACGCAUGCUACAAUGGCCGGUACAAUGGGUUGCGAUACUGUGAGGUGGAGCUAAUCCCAAAAAGCCGGUCUCAGUUCGGAUUGGGGUCUGCAACUCGACCCCAUGAAGUCGGAGUCGCUAGUAAUCGCAGAUCAGCAACGCUGCGGUGAAUACGUUCCCGGGCCUUGUACACACCGCCCGUCAAGUCACGAAAGU